CUUUGUGGCAGCUGCUCGCCACUCUGAGGUCAUUCUGGUUCACUUAAGUGGGCAGCAUUUAAGCAAGUGAACAACUCUUAAAAUCCAGCCCUUGUACCUCCUGCUCCCCUGGUCCUCUCCAUUCCUCUGGAUGGCUGGUGACAGAAGGGCUCCAUACGCCCUCCAGCAGCUGCUCUCACUAACUUCCCUGCUCUCCAACUCUGCUCUGACCAGGUGGGUCCCCCUGGCUGAAGUGCUGUAUCCCCUUCAUUCACAACGUCUUCCUGGACCCUGAGAUAUACUCUGCCUCCACACUGAGAAAGGCAGUGGGGUCGAGGGGUAAGAUUGCUGCUUUUGGAGAUAGAUGAGACCUGACUCCACCUCUUCCUGGCUGUGUGACCUUGGGCAAGCCAUCAACCUCUCUGAGCCAUACUGUCUCCUCUGUAAAAUGAGGAUCAAACAGCAUCAACGUACAGGAUUGUUAGGAAGACUAAGUGAAUAUUAAUGGGUGCACAAUGUUACCACCCUACGUGGCACAUGGUCAGUCCCCUUAAAUAUUUGCUCUUUCUAUCAACUGUUCACUUCCCUCCAGCCAGAUCCAUGGGUUCCUGCUCUCCAGUCCUCUAGGCUGCAUUUAAAAAGUCAGGAGGGGGGCUUCCCUGGUGGCGCAGUGGUUGAGAGUCCGCCUGCCGAUGCAGGGGACAUGGGUUCGUGCCCUGGUCCGGGAAGAUCCCACAUGCCGCAGAGUGGCUGGGCCCGUGAGCUAUGGCCACUGAGCCUGUGCAUCCGGAGCCUGUGCUCCACAGUGGGGGAGAGACCACAACAGUGAGAGGCCCGUAUACCACAAAAAAAAAAAAAGAAAGAAAGAAAGAAAAAGGAUAAGGGAGGAAUUUCUCAGAGAUAGCCAAAGAAUCCGAGGAGCCUGCACGGGGUUCCCCACAGGGUGGCUGGACCUCUAGCAGCUUCAAUAAGACCUCAGGUCUGGGUGAAACGGAGCAGGAUCCUACGGUCCUUGCCCCCCAUGUCCUCAGCCUACCUUUUGUCUGUGGAAAAACUUUAUCCAAAGAGUAAGUUUAAUCAGAGAUGUGAGAAGAUGCAGAAACAAGGGAAAAUAGUCCAAUAAGACUGAAUAAUAAUAGUCUAGGCAUUAAGCAUAGUCAAGGACCUUAGUUCCUCUUCAAGGGCUAUAGAUAAUAUUCUGAGCCAUAUCAUUUGAGCUGUCUUAUAGAUACUGAAACCCCCAUCAGGUGGAAGAAGUUAACUACAUGAUGACCAGACUGUAGCCAUGACAUAAGCUGCCACAAUUCUGAGAACUGGCCUCAAAGAAAUGGGAAGAAACGGACCGUGGAACUAAAGACCAUGUUAGGUAGCUAGUCAGACGUGAGUGGGUCCUGCCCCAUCCUGGAUGGGGUCAUCUUUCCCUCCCCACCUGGACACUGGUGACCAGAAUAUGCCCAGAGAUCCUCCCUUUUUGUGGUUAAGGACCGCUAAGUUUCCAGCCUUAACAGGACCAAGCAAGAUAUUGAAAACCCAACAGGGUUUUCCGAACCAUCAGCACCGGUUGGCGCAGGUGCACCCAGACCUAAGAGGUGACUCAGACUAACCUGGGGUUCAUGAUGCGGUAUUUAUAAUAAGUUACCAUUGUGGUUCCCCACCCCCACCCCC